rnacentral:snoRNA from 12 species
AGCCAAAUGAUGUUACAAUCAUACUGAGUGCCGCUAUCGAUCUAUUUUUGAUUGAUUCUGGCGUAUAAAAGGGAUGUUCGCAGCUGCGAGGCAUUUGUCUGAUGGAAGC